GGCGCCCACCGUAAGCCUCCCGGGCCUUGUGAACCUGCAAACCCAAGUCUGAGAGACGAUCCGCCUUCAGCGCUUUCCAGCUUGGCAGAGAGGCUUUCCCGGCGGGGAUCUUUGGUUGGCGCUGGCGAUGCGCGGGGAAGAAAGGCGAGGAGCGGCGUCCAGGCUGGGUGAUGUCCCAGCACGAGUAGGCGGGAUGCGCUCGCUUGGUCCUCCGGGCGCCCGGUCCCUGCCCGCGUCGCGCGCCCACCCCUGGGGACGAGAAGGCGGCCGCCUGAGGACCCCCGCCCGCGACCUCCGCGAGUCUGGAGCGCAGAGGACAGGGUCUGGCUGCUCUUUGGCCUUGGAUGGAAAGUGGGGAAUUGGGUGGGGGGCUGCGGACCCCUUAACGUGGAUUACUUGGUGUGUAUCAGCUGGGCUCAGAAGACCCACGACCUCUUCUCCAUCCGUGGAUUGAUUUGUUCUGCUUAACAGCUGGGUCGCCAAGCUGGAGGAACUCUGAAAGCCACAUGUUGAGAUGGCCCCAUUACAGGAUGGAGAGCACCUGAACCCCCAAGUUAUGGACUAGAAGAAGACAGUUGCCCUGGAAAAUCAUCUGACCCACAUUGGACUUUAUGUGAGGGGGAAAUAAACCUUUAUUAUGUUAAGCUACACAAUAAUAAAUAACAACAA
rnacentral:lncRNA from 1 species